rnacentral:piRNA from 1 species
UUCACACUCGGCCUUUGUCCCACUUUCGUCC